UCUCUCUGCCUCUCUCUCUGGUCCUUCCCCAAGUACACUUGCUUGGGCUCGCUCGCUCUCUCUCAAAAUAGAUUAAAAAAAAAAAAAAAAGGAGGAAUCAAAGACUGCUAAUUGGUUUCUGCUUCUAUUAGCUAUCUCUACCUUCAGACCCAAUCCAUAAAAAGAUGCAGACACAUGACUAGAAACCCUCUGUGAUGGACUGUAAUGGGUCUAACUCUUCAUCUCUCCCUAAAUCCAUGCCCUCGGUCAAUAAUGUUGGAAUCCUUUCAUAAAGGCAGAGUUCAUUUCCUGCUCCAUGUGAUCUCAUUCGGCCAAGAAAGCAAGACAGAAGUAUACUAGUUCUGAGCCUAGGUCUCAAGAGGCCUGGUAUCCCUGCUUAAGCUUCUGACCUCAGCCUGAGAACAUGUGUGGGCUAGCCCACUGGUCCCACGAGGAUGUGAAACACAAGGAGAGAUGAAUCUUCAUGGCCCUACCAAAACAAGCCAAGAUUAGCAGACCUCCGAUUGAAUCUAGCCUGGAUUAGCUCAAUGUUGCAGUGGUAUAGGAAAUAAAUGUUUAUUAUUUUAAGUCACUGAAUUUUGGGAUAGCUUGUUUCGUAGCAAUGGCUAACUCAUACACCGUCUAAAAAUCAAAGCAGCUGCUAGUUAGGAACUACAUUAUUAUGACAAAAACACAUUCCCAUGCAGACUGAAAGAACCAAAGUUGAAAGGGAAAACUAAGUAUUACUACAAGUUUAAACACUCAGUAAUAUAUUCUGAACAUCAAGUGAUACUUUUUAAAUCAUAUCAAGAGGAUAUAAACAACAGGGACAACUCCUGCAGUGUUUUCUUACUUAUCAUAGGAUCCAGAAAUCAGAGUCUGUGCUUCAAAUGGAUGAAACUGCAGAGUCUGGACCUAAAAGAAGGAAACAUAAAAACAGAUCUAUGUUUGUUUGGUUUUGGUAAAACUGCUUAAUACUCAACAGAAUCAAUUUGGCAAUGUUUCCAUAAAUUUUUCCUUUGAAAUGUAGUACUAGUUAAAGAAACAAACGUACUACAUAGUCAAAAGGACAAAACACAUUUUCAAAUAAAAGCAGUCACUUAAAAGACAUAAUGCAGCAUUUCUCAAGUUGUGUUUCACAGAAUGCACAUGUCCCUCAAAUGCUAAAUAUGUGCAGAACAAAACAGGGAGUGGCCAAGCUUACCUGGACAACUCCACACACUCCGGAAGCCCCACAAUGUACACCAGCACAUUAGAUCCCCGAGUUCUGCAGUAACACAUCUGUUACAUUCUUUAACCUCAUCUGGUGACUGACACCCCUGUCUCUUUUUAGGGUCUCGGUAAACAUGCUAUAAUGUACUAGUGUUUCCAGUCACUUCAUCUUUUUGUCUUCAUCUCUAAGAAAAUGAACAAGCUGGUUUUUCAAUUCAUAUGAAAAUGCAAGGGACUCAGAAUAGCCAAAAUGAUCUUGGAAAAGAAGAGCAAAAUUGAUAAGCUCACAGUUUGGAUUUCAAAAUGGACUGAAAAGCCACAAUAAUCCUAACAAUGUGCUACUGGCUUAAGGACAGACACACAGGUGAACAGAAUAGAAUGAAGAAUAAACCCUCAAACUUGUGGUCAUUUGUUUCUGACAAGAAGGUUCGUAUCAUUCACCGGUCAGUGGGGAAAAGAACAGUAUUUUCAACAAAUAGUUCAGGGACAACUGGAUAUCCCCACACAAAAGAAUGAAGUUAGACCCCUAUCUCACACUGUACUCAGAAGAGAUCAUGGACCUGCCAAUGUAAGAGCUAAAACUAUAGAACUCUCAGAAGAAAAGAGGUAUAAAUCUUUGCACCCCGGGUUAGGCAAUGGUUUCUCAGAUAUGACACAAAAAGCCUAAGCAACAAAAGGUAUAAAUAAAUGAAACAUCAGCAACAUGAAAAACUUUUGUAUUGCAAAUGAUACCAUCAAGAAAUUGAAAA